GUGAUUUUACAGGGCAACAGAGAUGAAUUAGACUGACAGUGUGAAUUGAAAAACCCUAGGUGAAGUUAUUUAUUUAUAGGGAAAGGAGACAGAAAAGAAGACUAAAACGCCGUCGUUAGUUUGAUCCAUUUCGGAUCUGUAGAAGAAGACAAAAAGACCAACCAACCGGAGCCCAAUAACCCGCUCCAACCUCCAUAUGAGCAAUUAAGACGUUGAGUGACUGUAAUACCCUUCUGUCUACAACAUAAUGUCGAAAUUAGCCUUCUGUUCCGUACAUCUUCUUCUUCGUCACUUCUUCCUCCUCCUCUUCUCUGUCACUGCUACUUCACCGCCACAGGUCUCUAUCGCAGUUGGACCUCCACGGCCACGGCAGCCGCAAAUCACCACCGUAUGCCGAGAAAAAUAAUCGAGCCUCGUGUCAUUAUUCAGCCUAUGCGGAACUCCGACAAUGUCAUCCAAUAAUGUACAUAGUCCUUCAUAUCUUCCGUUCUGUGUCUCGAAAUGGCUGAUAGAUUGAUAAACCGCUUCUUCCACGAUUUAUAUUACACAAAUUAGAUCAAGAGACGAGAAACAUACCAAAGGUUUGUCUAUGGAUUUUUGAGUCGGUUUCAAUCACAAAGAUCAAAACCAGAGAAGUAAGAAGCAGAUUCACUGGAAGAAGCAAAGAAUGCAGCCCAGGCUUCUUCAAGGCCUAAACUUGAGAAAAAGACAGGCUAUAAGUCUGGACUUGGCAAAUGCAUUGCUGGUGAAUGGUGAUGAUCUGAGUGACAAUAAGUGGUGGUUGGAGCUUACUGGGCAUACGAAAGCUCUUGAACCAGCUCUGCAAUUAUUUAAAUGGUUCCAUCAGAAAGCAAUCACCAACCUCAGGAUCCACUUCAACUUCCAAAGCUACAAUAGACAAUUAUUCUGUCCUCAAAAAGGAAGGAGCAGCUUGUACAGUGCUUUAGGAGUUGUUAGUUCCAGGUACUGUUUACCAUAUGAAGAGGAACAUUGACACUCAUGCUUACAGUAGAAAUGGAAGAGGGGUGGAAUUUUGCACAAUGUGGAAGAGUCAUGCAGAUGAACAUUUCCAGAGGAUAGUCACUACACUCUACCAGAUGUACGCAAAGCUUAGACAGGGACCGCUGAUGGAGGUAUUUUUUAGAUGACUAAAAACCAAUAAUCUCAUCAAUUUUCCCUAUAAGAUGUUAAGUAUUUUGUAAAUGUUAAUUUUGUUUCUACAAUAUCAGCAUAUAACUUUGAAGCAAUUUUGUGAAUUCUUGCAGAAAUAUGUGCAGUAUUUUGCCAA